ACGGUCCUAUAAAAUAUGUGAAGUCGGACCUGCCCAGUGAAUUUUUUAACGGCCGCGGUACUCUGACCGUGCAAAGGUAGCAUAAUCAUUUGCCUUAUAAUUGAAGGCUGGAAUGAAUGGUUUGACAAAAAUGCAACUGUCUCUUUAGGAUUAAAUAGAAUUUUAUUUUUGGAUGAAAAAGUCCUAAUAAAAUUAAAAGACAAGAAGACCCUAUCGAGCUUGAAAGAAAUUAACAAAUAUAUAUAUACUAAUCUGAAAAUCAAAUUGUUAAAAAUUUUGGUUGGGGCAACCAAGGAGUAAAUAAAGCCUCCUUUAUUAAAUAAAGACAUUACUAGUCCUGAUCCAAAAAUUUUGAUUAAAGGAAGUAGUUACCGUAGGGAUAACAGCAUUAUCUUUUUUAAGAGCUCUUAUCGAAAAAAAGGUUUGUGACCUCGAUGUUGGACCAGAAUAUCCUAAAGAUGCAGAAGUCUUUAAGGGUUGGUCUGUUCGACCAUUAAAAUUCUA
rnacentral:rRNA from 1 species